GCUAAGGCUAGGAGCUGAUAGCAAUUUCUUACUUGAGUUGGAGAAGAGGUUAGGAUGGGUGAGAGCUAGACAAACAAUCAACCCACACACUGGAAAAAUGUCCAAAAGCAGACAAUUGGAUUCCAUGAAAUUUCAACACCUACAGUAGGAUUGGGGACACCAUCCAACUGGAAGGACGUCUUUGAAUGGAUUUACCCCAAGGCGGCUCAACUUACCCUGUCCCUAUGCUCAACUUAUCCCAUACCUGGUGUAUGCUGUGCAAAGAGACCACUUUUCUGUACAAGCUAUGUUUUCAAAACUGUUAGACGUUUAUGAAUUCUGAUUAUUUCCAGCGAUACACAAACAUCCUAAAAUAUGUAGAUAUCUUUGUUAGACUAUAUUUCCCUUGACGUAGUGAUGCUGAAUGUAAUAAAUGGCUCAACAUACCCCACUCUCCCCUAUAUGUUCCUUCAAUCAG
ensembl:lncRNA